GCCGGCAGCUAGCUCUCUGCAACUCUCACAUGGUCGCCCACUGAAGCUAAGCAGGGCUGCGCCCGAUCAGUACCUGAAUGGGAGACCACAUGGGAAAGCUAGUUUGCUGCCGCAA
rnacentral:rRNA from 1 species